rnacentral:rRNA from 1 species
CCCUACGGGACGCAGCAGUGGGGAAUAUUGGGCAAUGGGCGCAAGCCUGACCCAGCAACGCCGCGUGAAGGAAGAAGGCUUUCGGGUUGUAAACUUCUUUUAUGAGGGACGAAAGAAAUGACGGUACCCCAUGAAUAAGCCACGGCUAACUACGUGCCAGCAGCCGCGGUAAUACGUAGGUGGCAAGCGUUAUCCGGAUUUACUGGGUGUAAAGGGCGUGUAGGCGGGGAAGCAAGUCAGAUGUGAAAACCACGGGCUCAACCUGUGGCCUGCAUUUGAAACUGUUUUUCUUGAGU